GGCCUGAUAGUUCAGUGGUAGAAUUCUUGCUUUGGGAACCAAAAAAUUCAAAAUGUAAGAGGUCUCCGGUUCAAUCCCGGAUUAGGCCC
rfam:Pseudogymnoascus verrucosus strain TAMH 10579 unplaced genomic scaffold scaffold_4, whole genome shotgun sequence.